rnacentral:rRNA from 1 species
UACAGAGGGUGCAAGCGUUACUCGGAAUUACUGGGCGUAAAGCGUGCGUAGACGGUUACAUAAGUCAGAUGUGAAAGCCCCGGGCUCAACCUGGGAACUGCAUUUGUGACUGCAAGGCUAGAGUACGGUAGAGGGGGAUGGAAUUCCGCGUGUAGCAGUGAAAUGCGUAGAUAUGCGGAGGAACACCGAUGGCGAAGGCAAUCCCCUGGACCUGUACUGACGCUCAUGCACGAAAGCGUGGGGAGCAAACAGG